GGUGAUUCAGUGGUAGAGUGCUUGCCUUGCAUGCAUGAGGUCCUGGGUUCGAUUCCUCAGCACCA
rnacentral:tRNA from 1 species